GGUGCAUUGUGGGGCGGGAGAGGAGAGUCACUGCUGAGCCAGGGCCGCCAUCUUGGCUGCGUCCGGACUCGCUCCCGCUCCCGGGGCCUGUUCCUUUUCCUCGCUGCGCAAAGCGGUGGAAAGGGAGAAGACGAAGGGCCCGCCAGGGCGGUGCUGAUGCGCGCAUAGCCUCCUCGCACCUCUCUCAGGCGCCGCUAGUAAAGGGGGCGGGGGUGGUCGAGCGGUGACCGGCGCGGCCUCUUCUCUCCUCUGCCGGGAUGGGUCGGUCCCGCAGCCGGAGCUCGUCCCGCUCCAAGCACACCAAGAGCUCCAAGCACAACAAGAAGAACCGGAGCCGAUCGCGGUCCCGAUCCCGAGAAAAGGAGCGGGCAAGGAAGCGCUCCAAGUCCCGGGAGAGCAAGCGGAACCGGCGCCGGGAGUCCCGCUCCCGCUCGCGCUCUAAUACGGCCCCGUCCUCCCGGCGCGACCGGGACCGGGACCGCGACCGCGCCUCCUCCCCCCCCGACCGUAUCGACAUCUUCGGGCGCACGGUGAGCAAGCGCAGCAGCCUGGAUGAGAAACAGAAGCGGGAGGAGGAGGAGAAAAAAGCAGAGUUCGAGCGGCAGCGGAAAAUUCGUCAACAAGAAAUUGAAGAGAAACUCAUAGAGGAAGAAACUGCUCGAAGGGUGGAAGAACUUGUAGCUAAACGCGUAGAAGAAGAGUUGGAGAAAAGAAAGGAUGAGAUUGAGCGAGAGGUUCUGCGCAGGGUGGAGGAGGCUAAGCGCAUCAUGGAAAAACAGUUGCUCGAAGAACUCGAGCGACAGCGACAAGCUGAACUUGCAGCACAAAAAGCCAGAGAGGUAACGCUCGGUCGUUUGGAAAGUAGAGACAGUCCAUGGCAAAACUUUCAGUGUCGGUUUGUGCCUCCUGUUCGGUUCACAAAGAGAUGGAAUACAGCAAAUCUAAUUCCCUUCUCAUAUAAACUUGCAUUGCUGCGAAACUUAAUUUCUAGCCUAUUCAGAGGAGCUCACUGAUAUUUAAACAGUUACUCUCCUAAAACCUGAACAAGGAUACUUGUUUCUUAAUGGAACUGACCUACAUAUAUUUCAGAAUUGUUUGAAACUUUUGCCAUGGCUGCAGGAUUUAUCAGCAGUCCUUUCAUUUUGGGGAAGUGUAUUAAAAAUAUGUAAUUAUGUAUCCUUCAUUUAUUUCAUUUUGUUUACCUAGACUGUAAGAGGCUUUUGCCUUCAGCCAGGCAAAAAGCAGGGUCCAGCAGUGAGCUGCAGUACCUGUCUUUAACAAAUAGGUUUCUUAUUCUUCAUUUAAAAUGAACAUUUUCCUUGAGCAUACAUUGGACUAAUUCUGGGACUUCGAGCAUAAGUCCAUCCACGUCUUCACGAAGGAUCUCUGUCCAAAUCAUUAUAUCCAUUUUUAAUAACUACUAACAACUCCUUUUUUUCUCCCUAGAAGUUAUAAAAGAGCAGCUUGCCCUUGUCUGAAGUCAAGCUGAACGUGUGACUUGGGUUUUUGGGGCCUUUUUUUGUUGUUUUGUUUUGUUUUUUAAUCAGCAGCUGGAGCAGAAGCUGAAAAUGUCUUUCUGUGAGACAGUAAUUUGCUACUAAAGGCUUUGAUGCCUGCCUGCACCAAUCAUUCCAGGAUCCAGAAAUUUCAAGACAAACUUCAAACCAUAGAGGAAAUUUGUGCUAAAUAGUCAUAAGUGUUAAAUGCUUUUUUCACUCUGUACAUCCUACACAGUUUAUUUUAAAUUAAUAUUUUGAUUGGCUUGCAAGAGACAGUAGCAUUGCAGCUUUCCCCUUCAUACUAGAUGUGACUUGUCAGUCACAUAGUAUCAAAUUAAAUGGAAACAAAUGGAAUGCUGAGUUACGAUAAAUACUAAAAAGAAUGAAUUGAUUAUACUUUUCUUGCAAAUUCAGACUUUAAUAUCAGAGUUUAAGUUGAAUUUCCAUGUUUGUAGUCAGCAAAUUCUUCAUAUGUAGAGGUUUUCAUUUGAUCAGACGGAUGACUGUUUUUUUUAAAAAGAGUAUUUUUGAUAUUGUUGUCAUGUGGAGAAGUCCCACUAGUUCCUUGUAAUGCAGAAUGAACCUCCAUGCCUGGAGUGAAGUGUGCUAGCUAGUAGCUGGUUACUAGUCAUAGUAAGAAGUUUUCAUAUGCUUGCUUUGUUCGUAUUAACUUUUUUUUCUUACACAGACACAAACCUCUGGCUAACUUUAAAUCUUCCAAAAACAAAAAUAAUUUGGAUAUAUAUUAUGUGAACUGAAACACUUCAAAAUUUUUCACGCAGUCUUCAUAUUUGAGUUGCAUAACAGAGUUCCAUAAAAUUCACCAAGAAAACAACAAUUACAAGGCUUUAUUUCCUGAUCUUGCCUUCCCUGGACUCCUGAAUUCCAAGUUCAUACUGCAGACAGUUUCAGCUGUCUUAAAAUUGUCAAAAUACUGAAUGUUAAGUCCAUUCUCCCCAUGAAAGAAGCCCAUAGCUCCAUGAAGUAUGGAUUACCAUUUGUAUUUUUCACUAACAGUAAAUGUAUUUUUCUUAUUAACUGUUUGCCUUAGGAAUGAUUUACAUAUUUUUGUUCCUUCUUACCAUAAACAUCUGCAUUCCUCAGCUCAGCCUUCCUUGUAUGUUGUUUCUUUAUAAAUGGUUGAGCUGCUGAUGCAGGUAUUGCCAAGCUAACAGUACAAAUCAUUUUAAAGAGGAAGCUGGCGCGUAUGGCAGCCGAGGAGCACACUCUGCAGGACACUGGACAAGACAGAAGAAGAGCGUGCAAAGCGUGAGGAACUAGAGCGAAUACUAGAAGAGAAUAAUCGAAAAAUUGCAGAAGCACAAGCUAAACUGGCUGAAGAACAAUUGAAAAUUGUUGAAGAACAAAGAAAGAUUCAUGAGGAGAGGAUGAAACUAGAACAAGAGAGACAGCGUCAGCAAAAGGAAGAGCAAAAAAUUAUCCUGGGCAAAGGAAAGUCUAGGCCAAAACUGUCCUUCUCCCUAAAAAGCCAGGAUUAAAUUUCAACUCUGAACUCUUAAAAGAAAAAAAGAAACAAACAAAAAACAACAAAAAAAGGAAAACAAACAAAAACUUUGUAUGGUAGCUUCAUGUUGAAGUGUUUUUUGGUUUUUUUUUUCUUUCUCUCAAAUUUUUUUUUGUCUUUUUUGAAAGUUGGAAAGUUAGCUUGUUCUAAUAGGGGCUGUGCUCUGCAAUUCUUAUUUUUUUUAACUUCCAUUAAGUUAAACCCUUAUCAGAUCAUCAUUGCCUUUUAGAGGAUAAUCUGUUUUCAUCAAUUUUGUUUCUGUAUUGGUGGUCUGAAGCAACUCAUGUCACUUUAUGAACUGUGGAUGAUCUGAUAAGGUUUUACUGACCUACUCAUCAGAGUUUGACUCUGAUAAUUGACAGAACUUUUUACUGGGUAUUGCUGACUUUUAAUGUUUUUAUUUUAAAGUCAGUAAAUACAUGAGUAAAUUGCCAUAGUAUUACUGGACCUCUGUGGUUUAUUGUUAAAUCAGUGUCCUAUGAUACUGUCCCAUUGUUGCGCUUGAUGUUCCUGAUACAGGUAAGGAAAUAGUUUGUCAUUUCUGCUAUGAAUACAUAGAGAGAGUUCAGUAUUGUCUCUGUUAGAUUUGUUUUUAUUACAUUGACAGCAUUCAACCAGCGUUCCCCAUUGUGUAAAUAAACCAAUUUGCUGAAUAAAGUGAAAGUCUUAAAUUCAUAUGUUUAAGUAAAUUUUUUUAGUACACUUCUAUAAACAGCUAUAAGAGUGACAAUUCACAUUAUUAAAUUCAAGACUAUAGUAAUAUUUUUUUAAAUUUUGCUUUAAACUACUGUGGCUUCUACUUAUAAUGCAAAAUCACACACAGUAAAAAAAUCCCUGCAGUUGUGAAUGUUAUUGAUAGCUGCUGCUGUUUUUAUGAAUGUUGGUUUUUGUUCUGACAGAGACUUAUUUCAGCUGUAGUAUCAUGUUUAAACGGCUGUUUGGCUUACUGCACCCAGACCGAUACUUCCGAUAUCUAAACUCCUUCAGUUCACCUCAUAAUAUAAUAUAUUGUAUAAGUUAAGGUCAUUAGCAUAUAAUGAAUCUGAUGGAUCCUAAAGGAUUUAAAAAUGGAAGUUUCUUCUCCCAAAGGACUGGACUGGCUAGUAUAUUUGAACUGAAAAACAGAAAGUGGGAUUCUGUCUAAAUACUUUGUUUUAGCCAGAAAGCAACUGUUAUACAGAUCUUGAAUAUUAUCCAUUUAUAUAUACAGGUUUUAUUUUGAAAAAUGAAACUACAGAUUGAAAACUAUAUAUAUAAAGUCCCUGAUUUUGUAUGUAAUUCCUCUACCAAAAUCCAGAUUACUAUAGCUUGUCCAGUUCUAAAACUCUUUUUCCUGUCAGCGUGCAACGUCUGUAGUAACCAUAAAAUGACAGUAACCAUAAAAUUACCAGUAGUUGGCCUGAGCAUUUGAAUGUCACUGGACAAAGUUGGAAAUAAUUCCUGAUAUUCCCAAAGGAUCUGUGUCUGUAGAUUUAGCAAAUUAAAUAUGGGAGCAAGUUGAAUGUGCCACUGAAAGCAGUAUUCAACAAGCUUUGUCUGAAACCGGGGCUUGGGGACAGACUGAUGUGUAUCAUUUUGUCCAGUAUGUCAAGAAAAUGUGAAGAUGGUAAAAUACCUACACUAUUACUGUGCUUAAAUUUGUCUAUAUAUUGUAUGACAGAAGAAGGUUGAAAGUUGCUUAAUGCAUAAAAACAAAAACUGAAGCCAAAUAAAUCAUGUACAUGACCUGUUGGCAGGAGCAGGCUGUAUUUAAAGAUCAACUGAUACCUGUAUUUCUAAAGCAGAAAACAUCCCCUGUUCCCUUAUGAGAAACAAGCUAUUAAAAGUCAAUACUCAAAACAGAC